rnacentral:misc_RNA from 1 species
AAGUCGUAACAAGGUUUCCGUAGGCGAACCUGCGGAAGGAUCAAUUCUGAGUUUGUCUCUGUAUCAGUGGAUCUGGUACAGGGCAUCUCCCAUUCUUGUGAUUUAUUCAAAGGCCCAUACGGGUUUUUCUUCAAAAUCUUCUUGAAAUUUAAAACUUUCAACAACGGAUCUCUUGGUUCUG